UUAUUUGUAGGUAAGUCGUCUGGUUUGA
rnacentral:piRNA from 1 species